CGGACGGGUGAGUAAUGUCUGGGAAACUGCCUGAUGGAGGGGGAUAACUACCGGAAACGGUAGCUAAUACCGCAUAACGUCGCAAGACCAAAGAGGGGGACCUUCGGGCCUCUUGCCAUCAGAUGUGCCCAGAUGGGAUUAGCUAGUAGGUGGGGUAACGGCUCACAUAGGCGACGAUCCCUAGCUGGUAUGAGAGGAUGACCAGCCACACUGGAACUGAGACACGGUCCAG
rnacentral:rRNA from 1 species